rnacentral:rRNA from 1 species
GACGAACGCUGGCGGCGUGCUUAACACAUGCAAGUCGAACGGAAAGGCCCUGCUUUUGUGGGGUGCUCGAGUGGCGAACGGGUGAGUAACACGUGAGUAACCUGCCCUUGACUUUGGGAUAACUUCAGGAAACUGGGGCUAAUACCGGAUAGGAGCUCCUGCUGCAUGGUGGGGGUUGGAAAGUUUCGGCGGUUGGGGAUGGACUCGCGGCUUAUCAGCUUGUUGGUGGGGUAGUGGCUUACCAAGGCUUUGACGGGUAGCUGGCCUGAGAGGGUGACCGGCCACAUGGGGACUGAGAUACGGCCCAGACUCCUACGGGAGGCAGCAGUGGGGAAUAUUGCACAAUGGGCGGAAGCCUGAUGCAGCAACGCCGCGUGCGGGAUGACGGCCUUCGGGUUGUAAACCGCUUUCGCCUGUGACGAAGCGUGAGUGGCGGUAAUGGGUAAAGAAGCACCGGCUAACUACGUG